rnacentral:lncRNA from 1 species
UUUUUUUUUUUUCUUUUUAGGGCUGCACCUGAACCAUAUGAAAGUUCCCAGGCUAGGGGUCAAAUUGGAGUUGUAGCUGCCAGCCUAUGCCACAGCCAUGGCAACACCAGAUCUGAGCCACAUCUGUGACCUAUGCCUCCACUCGUGCCAACACAGGAUCUUUAAUCCACUGAGCAAGGCCAGGGAUCCAACCUCCAUCCUCACAGACACUGUAUCAGGUUCUUAACCUGCUGAGCCACAGCAGGAACACCCUGGGAUACUUUAAAUAGUCACUUUAUUUGCUUAAGUUUUAUAAUUUACAUGCAAAAAAUUAAAUCACUAAAGGAAUUACAUAAUUACUGUCUUUAUAUCUAUAAGAUCUUUCAUGAAUGACAGCUAAGUGUUUGUAGACUGGAUAGUCAGUCACCUUAACCAGUUAAACUUCCUCAUCUCUCAUCUCUUAUCUUGAGCUAUAAAUAUCAUAAUGAAUUAAUGAUAACCACAAAUUCUUUGACACUCUUCCCAUUGAGAAAUGGAGUCUAUAUCAACAACUAUACCCAAGCUGUAAAUUCAUGAGCAAAUGAAUGUUGUUUCCGGCUACCAAGUUUUGGGUGGUUCAUGAUGCAGCAGUAGAUAACUGAAAUUCUUUUUUUUUUUUUUUUUUUUGGCCAAAAACAUCAAUUGAUGGGAUGAAAUUACAAUGAGGAUUAGAAUCUGUAUAAAGUUUGCGUAAAUUAUAUCACAAACACUGUCAGUAACACAAAAGAAGUGAUAUUUGGAAUGGAGGAAAAACUAGAUAUGAGUUCUUGUAUUAAAUUUAUGGAAACUUUAUGGCUUCCUGGAGUGUCGUGUUGACAAGGACUGUUAUGACAGCUGGUUUCAGUGGGAAACCUGAGUCUUAUUGAUUAGCUUUCUAUAUUUGUCAUUAACAACCUUCCGUGAUUUGCCACUUGGGGUGUUGUUACAGUUAAGUUGCAAGAUCCUUCAUUAAUAAUGUUACUAUAAAAAAGAAUUCAUCAGAAAUUCAUUCAGACACUUAGACUUGCCAAAACAAUAUACAUAGUUGAUAUUUCACCUUUGCUUAGGAUUAUUUUAGUAAUUUCUGACUUUUUCCCACCUAAGAUGGGAAAUUUUCAACUAACAUACUGGGUAAAACACUGUCGAAGUAUUUGAAAUUCUAAUUCUAGGAUUAAUAAAAACUGAUGGUGUGUGACCAGGGCUAAACAUAUUGCUCUUAAGGCCAUUGGUAGGUGGGUGAGCUCCUCUCCAUUAGAAACAAAGUCAUUGUCAUUUCCAAAAUGUUCAAAUAACCAAAGAAAAGUUUACAUUUACUUAUAUAAGGACUAAUAUAAAUAUUGAGAUUCAUUUCUUUUGGCUAGGUUUAUUUAAAUGUUUUUAAAUUAAAGUUAACUGACCUACAAGACUAUGUUAGUUCCAAAUGCACAGCUUAGUUUCUAUGAAAAUAUUUUUUUAUAUUCCUACAAAAAAAUACCACUGUUUGACUUCUUUGUAAUAACUUUGGUUAGCUUAUGUUCAUCAAAAUUCUGAGUGGAAUUUAUACAUGCUUAACAAAAGUGGGAUAUAAACUAUAACUUAAAUAAAUGAGGUUUGAAAGAAAAUGUUUUAAAGUAUGGUAUCCUUGGGUAAACAUAAGCAGUGGUUGACAGGAAAAAGGCUGGAGCCACUCCUAUGCUGAAAGACAGUGCCUGGGAAUGAAGGCAAGUGUCUGAUCUGGACUCUGCAUCAUUUCUGUCUUGAAUAGUCUGGGAGGCUUUAGGCUCCCACCAUCUUCUCAUUUGACAAAUCAGGACCAGUGAUUUCCCACUUAACUCAGUAUUUUUAAGACAGUGAAAUAAAUAACAUGCACAACAAAUGUCUUAGAGAUCUGAAGCAAUCUUCUAAUGUGUACUGGUAUAAAACUGAAUUGGAGCUCAAAGAUUCCUGUCCUUUUCUGGAUAUGGAGAACUUUGGGACACAGGUGGCAUUUUCAUAUUUGCUCCCAAUGAAUGCUGGAACAUUGAAGGAUAAAAGAUGCUCUGGGGUAUUAGUAUCUGGCUAAACUACUGACUGGCAGCACUUAAUGUGAUUUGGCUUUUUAUCCCACGAAUAAACCCAGAGUGAUAGAUGCUUGGCUGGGGCACCUGGGAGCUUCUAAUGAGGAGUAGAAAGGAAAGGUCUGCCUGGAAACUUGCCAGUUUCAUCAAUAAGACCAGAUCUAAAUUAGCAUCAGAGAGAGGGAAAAAGUCCCAGAUAAAAUUAUACAACCAGAUACUGAGAAGGAUAUGGGGAUGGAUGAGGAAAGUAUAAUCAAGACAGACAUGCCCAGGAAUUUAUAUGAUAAUGUAACAGGCAAGAGCUUUAGAAAAACUUUCUAUGGACUCUGUUGUCUAUAUCCCAAAAAUAUAUGAUGAAGAACAAAGUAUUCUGAUUUUGACAAAGGAAUGGAAACAUAAAAUUACAGAUACAAUCAAGACUCAAUGGUUGGGAUUCAGCUAGAAAUUGAUACUGGGACUGUCCACUUUAUUGCAUAUGAGAAGGCCACUCAGAAUGAAACAGUUGAUUACAAGUCAUUGUUGUAUAAAAAAAAGAGAAACGAAAGCAUCAAUUCAGUUCAAAAGUGAGAAGUUAGAACCUUUUAGAAUUUUAGAUAAAAACUAGAACACAAGUUCUGUGUUAUGCACUCCCGUAUCAUCCUCACCAUGUCCAUGUGAGGCAAGGAGUCAGAGUCUUAUUACUGACACAGGAGGGCAUGUGUGUGAAUCAUUAUCCAGCAAUAACUAUAGUACUGCAAUUAGUUUAGUCUGUUGUAGAAUUAAAUAUUUAAAAAAAUACAAAUGUUAGGAAAGUAGAUUUGAGCAGCUCUGAACAUGAGGAGUUCCCGUCGUGGCGCAGUGGUUAACGAAUCCGACCAGGAACCAUGAGGUUGUGGGUUCGGUCCCUGCCCUUGCUCAGUGGGUUAAGGAUCCGGCGUUGCCGUGAAGGCGCGGCUCGGAUCCUGCGUUGCUGUGGCUCUGGCAUAGGCCGGUGGCUACAGCUCCGACUCGACCCCUAGCCUGGGAACCUCCAUAUGCCGUGGGAGCGGCCCAAGAAAUAGCAA